UCUUAACGUCGCGAAAGAAAGGAAUGUUUUUUUUUUAUAUUUAAUGGGUCCACGUUUGGCCGCUAUCUCGCCUGAUGGUUAGUGAUGAUGCGGCCUACGAUGGAGCACGUCUGCCCAUAAGCAACCUAUUCACUCGGGCUUUGAAGACACUCCGGUUAUACCCAUCAGGAAACACAGACUCCGGCCACUUUGGGCAAGGCGAGAGGGAGUGUCAGACUCUUACUGACUAAAAACCAUCCCGUUCCUUCUCCUGCUUUUUGAGCCGGAGCCCCGCUACCCUUGCUCGCCGUCCGCAGGCCCGCACUUACGGUGGCCAGAGAUCGUCCCGCGAUCCCCGACGCCCGGAGUCUCUCGCGACGGCUGGGGCGUGAGGAGGUUCGUUCUCUCACGCGCCCCGCCUCCUCCUUAGCCAGCAUGACUGCUUCGCAGAAGGAGAUGGCAUCCCAGUCCCUCUCGCUCCGCACCAUGGUCUGAACCAGUGCCGGGCGCGAGAGGUCGCCGUCGCCGACCACAUCUCUGAGGACUUGGCGGUGCUCAGCCCACGCAGGGCACACCGCCACCGUAUGUUCUACCGUGUCCUCCGGGCGGUCCUCGCAGUGAUGCCUGGCCGUUUCCAAUAAGGAACAGGAACCUACCGAAACUCCCAUGUCCGGUAAACACCUGCGUCAGACGGUAGGUGAGGACGCCGUGGCGCCUCUCUAGCCACUCCUCAAAGAGGGAACUUACCGCUGCAAUGACAGCGAGCAUAGAGUUCCACUCCCUAGCAUUUCGCACAAGGAAACUUAAAGCGAAGCGCUUCGUGCGAGUGGGUGGGAUAUCUACCAUGAAACGGUGACGCCUCACCGAUUGUCUGGUUCGAUGAUGGAAAGGAGGAUAGGGGAAUUAAGUUGUGCAAUUCCCCGCACACUCUCUGAAAUGUAUCCGGUAAAAAAUGGAAAGGCUUACAACCUUCAAGGCUUUGAAACCGGGCCUCCACAAGCGCAUCAUCAUUGAUGAGCUUCUUGGCACGCCUUUCGAUGUGUUCUAGUGCAUCGAGCUGGUAUUUACUGGAAGUUAAUAGGAUGACGAAGAGAGACGAGGCUUUAACCAUGACUCGGAAACCAGGAUAGCAUGGACAUCUUUGCAAUUGAAAACUGUCAGCAUAUCAAUGAAAUGAGCCGGAACACUCUCUGCAUUUAUGUGGACCACAUUAAAGUCGAGUCGAGAAACAUCAGAAAAAAUAGAUACAAGUGUAUUAGCUAGAGGAGGAACACUAUUAAAAAUGUCAUCGUCUGCUGAUAAAGAAAUACACGUCAGAGUCACUUUUCGGAGAGACUGAAGCUCGAGAUGCCUCAGCAUGAAAGCAGAGCCUUUGACCAAUCUUUUACGGUUCGAGCCGUGCGACUGUGGAAUGCGCUACCACUUUUAGUAAGGCAGGCACAGUCGCUCGCUUCGUUUAAGGUGCUCGUGAAGGAUCACUAUCUUUCCAAGCUGUAACACAUCAUUAUUUCC